AUAACCAAAAACAGUAAAAUUUCCUUAAAAUUACCAAUUUAGGGGCAGCAACCCAACAACGGGUUGUCCGAUUCAUCUGAAAAUUUCAGGGCAGAUAGAUUUUGACCUGAUAAACAAUUUUAUCCAUGUCAGAUUUGCUCUAAAUGCUUUGGUUUUUGAGUUAUAAGCCAAAAACUGCAUUUUACCCCUAUGUUCUAUUUUUAGCCAUGGCG
rnacentral:lncRNA from 1 species